GGGAAUGUAGCUCAGUGGUAGAGCACGUGCUUAGCAUGCACGAGGUCCUGGGUUCAAUCCUCAGUACCUCUA
rnacentral:tRNA from 1 species